rnacentral:rRNA from 1 species
CUCGAUGUCGGCUCGUCGCAUCCUGGGGCUGGAGUAGGUCCCAAGGGUUGGGCUGUUCGCCCAUUAAAGCGGUACGUGAGCUGGGUUCAGAACGUCGUGAGACAGUUUGGUCCCUAUCUGCCGUGGGUGUUGGAAACUUGAGAGGAUCUGUCCUUAGUACGAGAGGACCGGGAUGGACAUACCUCUGGUGGACCUGUUGUGGCGCCAGCCGCAUUGCAGGGUAGCUAUGUAUGGACGGGAUAACCGCUGAAUGCAUCUAAGCGGGAAACCCACCUCAAAACCAGGUUUCCCUUGAGAGCCGUUCUAGACUAGGACGUCGAUAGGCCAGGUGUGGAAGCGCUGCGAAGCGUGGAGCUUACUGGUACUAAUUGCUCGAUUGGCUUGAUC